rnacentral:rRNA from 1 species
CCUACGGGUGGCAGCAGUGGGGAAUAUUGCGCAAUGGGCGAAAGCCUGACGCAGCGACGCCGCGUGAGGGAUGAAGGUCUUCGGAUCGUAAACCUCUGUCAGCAGGGAAGAACGGUCACUGUGCUAAUCAGCAGUGAAUUGACGGUACCUGAAAAGGAAGCACAGGCUAACUCCGUGCCAGCAGCCGCGGUAAACCGGAGGGUGCGAGCGGUAAUCGGUAUUGCUUGGCGGAAAGGGCUCGUGCGCGGUAUGUCAAGUCAAGGGUGAAAUCCCCGGGCUCCACGGGGGAGCUGCCUUUGAAACUGGCAAACUGGAGUGGGUGAGAGGAAAGGGGAAUUCCAGGUGUAGGAGUGAAAU